GCCCCUGUAGCUCAGAGGAUAGAGCAGCGGUUUCCUAAACCGCGUGUCGCGGGUUCGAUUCCCGCCAGGGGCUCCA
rnacentral:tRNA from 1 species